rnacentral:rRNA from 1 species
GACGAACGCUGGCGGCGUGCUUAACACAUGCAAGUCGAACGGAAAGGCCCUGCUUUCGUGGGGUGCUCGAGUGGCGAACGGGUGAGUAUCACGUGAGUAACCUGCCCUUGACUUUGGGAUAACUUCAGGAAACUGGGGCUAAUACCGGAUAGGAGCUCCUGCUGCAUGGUGGGGGUUGGAAAGUUUCGGCGGUUGGGGAUGGACUCGCGGCUUAUGAGCUUGUUGGUUGGGUAGUGGCUUACCCAGGCUUUGACGGGUAGCCGGCCUGAGUGGGUGACCGGCCACAAGGGGCCUGAGGGACGGCCCAGACUCCUACGGGAGGCAGCGGUGGGGAGUAUUGCACAAUGGGCGGAAGCCUGAUGCGGAGACGCCGCGUGCGGAAUGACGGCCUUCGGGUUGUAAACCGCUUUAGCCUGUGACGAAGCGUGAGUGACGGUAAUGGGUAAAGAAGCACCGGCUAACUACGUG